rnacentral:rRNA from 1 species
GGUUUGAUCCUGGCUCAGAUUGAACGCUGGCGGCAUGCUUUACACAUGCAAGUCGAACGGCAGCACGGGAGCUUUGCACNUGGUGGCGAGUGGCGAACGGGUGAGUAAUACAUCGGAACGUGUCCUGAAGUGGGGGAUAACGCAUCGAAAGAUGUGCUAAUACCGCAUAAUCUCUGAGGAGGAAAGUGGGGGAUCGCAAGACCUCAUGCUUUUGGAGCGGCCGAUGUCUGAUUAGCUAGUUGGUGAGGUAAUGGCCUACCAAGGCGACGAUCAGUAGUUGGUCUGAGAGGACGACCAGCCACACUGGGACUGAGACACGGCCCAGACUCCUACGGAAGGCAGCAG